UUUUGGGUCUGUAUUUUGGGCUUUUGUUAUGAUAUAGUUUCAUCUCGCUCUUUCUUCUCCGCCUCUAGGUUUCAAACCAACUUUUCAUCUUCUUCCUACUAAUCCAGAAAUCCAUCGGUCAUUCCUCUUAAAUUUCUUCUUAAAUCAAUCGAUCUAUCUUCAAUACCACCUUUUCUCUUCGAGAACAGUUGAGGUUCGAUUAUAAAAAGGUAAAAAGUUUAUGGAGGUUUCGUUCAAGAAGGGAUUAGUAAUUCUGGUCUUGAUCUAAAUCUUUAUAUAUAAAAAAGCGUGAAUAAGAUUGUGAUGGAGUCAAAAUAUGGUAAAAAGAAGUCCAACAGUAGUAGUAGUUCCUUAUUUUACAAAGCUCUCCUCGGUUACAGCAUUGAAGACGUUCGCCCCAACAGUGGAAUCAAGAAAUUCAAAUCUCUGUCUACUCCAACUGCGUUAAGAGGCCAUCCUGAGUUGUCGCGCACAAAGUCUUCACUAUAGUUAUAGCUGCUUUCUUUAAUUUCCAGUUUAUAAUUUACUUUCUGUUAAGCUCUAUUUCUGCUUGGUUCCCCAAUCCCAUCGUUUUCUCAUCCUACUACAAGUUCAGACAACAAGGUGACAUGGCCUUAUCUGCAAUCGGUUUCGAAGUUACGAGAAGCCGCCCGAGGUCUCUUUCUUUGAGCCUAGCAUCUUUCAAGACUCCAAGGGACUGGGUCUCCGUACUCUGACCAGGUCCCAGCUUGACGAAAUACACACUCCUGCUGCCUGCGAGAUUGUUUCUUCUCUCUCCAACGAUCACUUCGACUCUUGCGUCCUCUCUGAGUCCAGCUUCUUUGUCUACCCCUACAAAGUCAUCAUAAAGACUUGUGGCACCACCAAGCUCCUCCUCUCUAUCCCGCCUCUCCUUAACCUGGCUGGUUAGCUCUCUCUGAGUGUCAAGUCCGUCAAGUACACUUGUGGCUCCUUCCUCUGCCCUGGCGGCCAGGAAUAAUCAAGUGGAGACAAAAAUUGUUUAGAAGACUCUAACUGUGCCAAGUUAAAGCUGAGGAAAGUCGCCGUGGUCACUUGAUUCUCCAGCACGAGUCCGAGAGAUUCGUUUUCCAAGCUGAGCCCCUCAUAACUCGCAAGAUUUCUAGCACAUUUUUCAUAUUUUGUUACUUUUUGUUGCAUUUAUUUGGAAACAAAGAGCAAAUCGACAAGAGUCAUAACUCA